rnacentral:rRNA from 1 species
GAUGAACGCUGGCGGCGUGCCUAAUACAUGCAAGUCGAGCGAACAGACGAGGAGCUUGCUCCUCUGACGUUAGCGGCGGACGGGUGAGUAACACGUGGAUAACCUACCUAUAAGACUGGGAUAACUUCGGGAAACCGGAGCUAAUACCGGAUAAUAUAUUGAACCGCGUGGUUCAAUAGUGAAAGACGGUUUUGCUAUCACUUAUAGAUGGAUCCGCGCCGCAUUAGCUAGUUGGUAAGGUAACGGCUUACCAAGGCAACGAUGCGUAGCCGACCUGAGAGGGUGAUCGGCCACACUGGAACUGAGACACGGUCCAGACUCCUACGGGAGGCAGCAGUAGGGAAUCUUCCGCAAUGGGCGAAAGCCUGACGGAGCAACGCCGCGUGAGUGAUGAAGGUCUUCGGAUCGUAAAACUCUGUUAUUAGGGAAGAACAAAUGUGUAAGUAACUAUGCACGUCUUGACGGUACCUAAUCAGAAAGCCACGGCUAACUACGUG